AUUUUCGGUCAUGCCCCCCCUACAGAUUAUAAUUUUUUUCCACAGUGAAGUCUGCCAGAGGGACUCGUUGGAGAGCAGACAGGGAACUUUGACGUCAUGGAGAGGAAUCCAGGAAGCAACAACUGGGCAACAACCAGAGCGCCACUGAGAGAACCUAUCAGGAGACCACAAGGCCCUAGGCGGAAAUUCAACCUGUAAGACUCUUCCGGCAUCACCUAUCACCACGCCUUCACCCCAGCCAAUCAGGACGCACCACCUCUCUACCUCGAUCCAAUCACCUGGCAAGAGCCCCUUCAAAAGGUGAAGCAACCACAGAUUCACCCGCUUCAGCUGUGCUACAACCCCCUCCUCCCCGUUUCCACCACCAGCCUCCCAGACGCCUCCAGGUCCCCUCAAGACUCCUCUCUCCAAGCUCCGCUCCACCACCAGUGACUGGGCCCGGGGGAAGACCUACCUGAGCUUCGUUCGAGCCGAUCAUUCAAGCUCGCUUCGAUUCUCAGCACGCACGUCUUCCACCGGUGUUCGAGCGCCAA